UUAAAUUAUAUUUUUUUCUUUAAUUUUUAUUUUAAAAAUUUAGUAAUUGUGAAUUUAUUUAUUUAAUUUUUUGUAAAAUUUAAUAUUAAAUUUUAAGUUAAAAUUUUUAUUACCUUUUGUAUCAGGGUGAUUUAAUUACAUUUAAGUAUUUUAUUUUCCCGAAAUAAAAAGAUUUAAUUUUGAUUAAUUUUAUUUGUUUUAUAUAAUUUAUUUAUUCAUUAUUUGUAAUUAUAAGUUAUUCGGUUUUUAUUAAUAUCUGGUUUUUUUAGAUUAAAUUUAAUUUUGGAUUAUUUAUUCUUUAUUUUUUUAUUUAUUUAAUCUUAAUUUAUAAAGGAUAAGCUUUAUAUUUAUUCAUUUUUUAUUAAUAAUUUAAUUUAUUUACUUUUAAAAUUUGUAUUUAGUUUUUAAAAAUUUAAUUAAUUUUAAUUAUAUUUUUUUAAAAAUGAUUUUUUAUUUAAAUUAAUUAAUUAAUUUUUUUUAUUUUUAAUAAUGAUUUAAUUAGUAAAGUUUUUAUUUCAAAUAAAUUGAAUUCGACAUAAUUUAUUCUCAACUGUUUAUCAAAAACAUUUCCUUUAGUUUAUUUUAAAGGUAAAUUCUGCCCUAUGAAUUAUUUUAAAUGGCUGCAGUAUUUUGACUGUACAAAGGUAGCAUAAUAAUUAGUUUUUUAAUUGGGAACUGGUAUGAAAGAUUAAAUGAGGAAUAUAUUUUAUUUAUUUUAUUAUUUUAAUUUUAUUUCUUAGUAAAAAAUCUAAGUUUUUUAUUUGGGACGAUAAGACCCUAUAGAACUUGUAAUUUUAUUUUUAUUUUAAUUUUUAAAUUAAAUUUUAAUUUUUUUAUUUUAUUGGGGUGGUAGUUAAAUUAAUCUUUAAUUUUUUAUUUCAUUUUUAUUGAUUAUUUAAAUUUAAGUUUAAAAGUUAAAGUUACCUUAGGGAUAACAGCGUAAUUUAAUUGGGGAGUUCAUAUCUAUAUUUAAGUUUGCGACCUCGAUGUUGAAUUAAGAUAAAGUAUAGGGGUAAAUUUUUAUACUAUGAGUCUGUUCGACUUUUUAUUCUUACAUGAUUUGAGUUCAAACCGGUGUAAGCCAGGUUGGUUUCUAUCUUAAUAUAAUUAAUUUAUUUUAGUACGAAAGGACCAAUUAUAUUAUUUUAUUAAUAUU
rnacentral:rRNA from 1 species